rnacentral:ncRNA from 1 species
CUUCAAUCUGGAGAGAAGUAUUUAAAAAUACUCACCGAAGGGGAUGGUUAAAAUAAUUAAUAGGAAUUAUUGAAAACCGAAGCUCUCAGGUACAUAGACAGAUGGGG